UACAGAGGGUGCAAGCGUUGUUCGGAAUUAUUGGGCGUAAAGGGAGUGUAGGCGGUUAUCUAAGUCUUCUGUGAAAUCUACGGGCUUAGCCUGUAACGUGCAGAGGAAACUGGGUGACUUGAGUGUCGGAGAGGAUAGGGGAAUACCCAGUGUAGAGGUGAAAUUCGUAGAGAUUGGGUGGAACACCAGUGGCGAAGGCGCCUGUCUGGCUGACAACUGACGCUGAGACUCGAAAGCAUGGGGAGCAAACAGG
rnacentral:rRNA from 1 species